rnacentral:lncRNA from 1 species
CUCAACACUCUCAAGGACCAGCUUAGGGGACUGGAGGCAGGUCCGGCAGAAGCUCUGUCCAGUAAGCAUUUCUUCACCCUUGGGCAACUUUGCACAAAUGGAUUGUGUAUUACACUCCAAGUGCUUCUUUUUGUUAUGGAUGGUUCGGUCUAUGAGCCAUGUGAUCAAUGUUUGAUUUCAUCGUUGUCCUUUGCUGCAUUUGAUGGACUUGUAAACUAUCUCUGCGGCACAAAAUUUGACCAUGGAGAUGACUAACAUGGCUUCUCUGUCUUAUGCUCUAUUUGUCAGUGAAAAAUCUUGCACCUUGACCGACAGAAUUAAGAGGGACUAGAAUGGGGAAGGACCUCUGUUGUAUCAGCUAACAGUAACACAUCAGCAGUACCUAAUGAUGUAUGGUUCCAACCCUCAAGCCCACGAUGGAACUGGUUACUUGAAUGUGAAUGGCCAACUCCAUGCCAGCUAUCUUUUAAUCUUACUAUGCUUUUGCAUUAUCUUCUUCAGUGAGAAGUUGUUAUAUUUGAAAGGGAACAGGGCAACGUGUUGCAUUCUUGCUUUUGUUAGAGCACUAUAUUUUAUUAUUAACCAUGCUAUGGUCCAAACUCCUUUUUAUUCUGCUCAUAUGAUAUUUCUCAUCUUUUGUUUUCUGUCCUGAUGCCUCCUGUAUUUAGAGUAGAAAUAUUCUUAAUUUAGUGUUUCUUGAACAUGGCCAGGGCAAUGGAUAAAAUCUACUCCGGAGAGUUGACAGAGGGAGCACAUGCUAAGUUGACUUUUUCCUACGGAUUUGCUUAUCGUGAAGAUGCUUGCAAGGAUGCAGAGGGAGCGGAUCAUUUGGAGAGAUGCCACUGUUUGGUGUUUUUAUGCAUUUUGGUUUGCUUGUAACUGUGUUUGCACUAGCUGGGAGUAAGUGACUUGGCAAGAAGUGUAGGUGUUUUAAUUGAAGGCCUGAAAACCAUGACAAUUAUGUAUGCUCUUACAGGAUGUGCUCUAAUGCCGCUGGUUUAUUAUAAAUCUAGGAUUAGUAAUGAUGUGUACUGCUGCUGGUUUAUUGCAAAUAUGUGUUUGUUUAGUUGUUGGAAUUGUAUGCAUAGAAUGGAAUUGGUGGCUUUUAUUUU